AUUGAACGCUGGCGGCAUGCCUUACACAUGCAAGUCGAACGGCAGCACGGGAUCAAUCCUGGCGGCGAGUGGCGAACGGGUGAGUAAUAUAUCGGAACGUGCCCAGUAAUGGGGGAUAGCCCGGCGAAAGCCGGAUUAAUACCGCAUACGACCUACGGGUGAAAGCAGGGGAUCGCAAGACCUUGCGUUAUUGGAGCGGCCGAUAUCAGAUUAGCUAGUUGGUGGGGUAAAAGCCUACCAAGGCGACGAUCUGUAGCUGGUCUGAGAGGACGACCAGCCACACUGGGACUGAGACACGGCCCAGACUCCCACGGGAGGCAGCAGUGGGGAAUUUUGGACAAUGGGCGCAAGCCUGAUCCAGCCAUGCCGCGUGUGGGAAGAAGGCCUUCGGGUUGUAAACCACUUUUGUCAGGGAAGAAACGCUCUGGGCUAAUACCCUGGGGUAAUGACGGUACCUGAAGAAUAAGCACCGGCUAACUACGUGCCAGCCGCCGCAGUAAGAC
rnacentral:rRNA from 1 species